rnacentral:rRNA from 1 species
AGUGAACGCUGGCGGCAGGCCUAACACAUGCAAGUCGAGCGGCAGCACGGGUGCUUGCACCUGGUGGCGAGUGGCGAACGGGUGAGUAAUACAUCGGAACGUACCUUAUCGUGGGGGAUAACGCAGCGAAAGCUGUGCUAAUACCGCAUACGCCCUGAGGGGGAAAGCGGGGGAUCGAAAGACCUCGCGCGAUUAGAGCGGCCGAUGCCUGAUUAGCUUGUUGGUGGGGUAAAAGCCCACCAAGGCGACGAUCAGUAGCUGGUCUGAGAGGACGAUCAGCCACACUGGGACUGAGACACGGCCCAGACUCCUACGGGAGGCAGCAGUGGGGAAUUUUGGACAAUGGGGGCAACCCUGAUCCAGCCAUGCCGCGUGAGUGAAGAAGGCCUUCGGGUUGUAAAGCUCUUUCGGCCGGGAAGAAAUCGCACAGGCUAAUACUCUGUGUGGAUGACGGUACCAGCACAAGAAGCACCGGCUAACUACGUG